UACGGGGGGGGCAAGCGUUGUUCGGAAUUACUGGGCGUAAAGGGUUUGUAGGGGGCUCGCUAAGUCAGACGUGAAAUCCCUCAGCUUAACUGGGGAACUGCGUCUGAGACUGGCAAGCUUGAGUGCAGGAGAGGAACGCGGAAUUCCAGGUGUAGCGGUGAAAUGCGUAGAUAUCUGGAGGAACACCGGUGGCGAAGGCGGCGUUCUGGACUGUAACUGACACUGAGGAACGAAAGCCAGGGGAGCAAACGGG
rnacentral:rRNA from 1 species